AGGGAAUAUGCCCUAGGUAACGGCGAGUGAAGCGGCAACAGCUCAAAUUUGAAAGCUGGCCUUCGGGUCCGCAUUGUAAUUUGUAGAGGAUGAUUUGGGGCAGCCGCCUGUCUAAGUUCCUUGGAACAGGACGUCAUAGAGGGUGAGAAUCCCGUAUGUGACAGGACAUGGCACCCUAUGUAAAUCUCCUUCGACGAGUCGAGUUGUUUGGGAAUGCAGCUCUAAAUGGGAGGUAAAUUUCUUCUAAAGCUAAAUAUUGGCGAGAGACCGAUAGCGCACAAGUAGAGUGAUCGAAAGAUGAAAAGCACUUUGGAAAGAGAGUUAAAAAGCACGUGAAAUUGUUGAAAGGGAAGCGCUUGCAAUCAGACUUGUUUAAACUGUUCGGCCGGUCUUCUGACCGGUUUACUCAGUUUGGACAGGCCAGCAUCAGUUUCGGCGGCCGGAUAAAGGCUCUGGGAAUGUGGCCUCCACUUCGGUGGAGGUGUUAUAGCCCAGGGUGUAAUACGGCCAGCCGGGACUGAGGUCCGCGCUUCGGCUAGGAUGCUGGCGUA
rnacentral:rRNA from 1 species